rnacentral:rRNA from 1 species
GUCCUUGCCGUAAACGAUGUGGAUUAGGUGUUGGAGGUGUCGAUCCCUCCAGCGCCGACGCUAACGCAUUAAAUCCACCACCUGUGGAGUACGGUCGCAAGACUGAAACUCAAAGAAAUUGACGGGGACCCGCACAAGCGGUGGAGCAUGUGGUUUAAUUCGAGGCUACGCGAAGAACCUUACCCAGGCUUGACAUGUAUUUGCAAGCCCAUGAAAGUGGGUCCUCUCGCAAGAGACGAUUACACAGGUGCUGCAUGGCUGUCGU